UGCGAGGAGGUUUUUCCUCUAUCCGUGUUGGAGGAACUGAUCCCGGUCUGCGCAGUUGUUGUGAGCGGUUGAAGAGGCGUGUGAACUUUUAUUAUCCUUUAACAUUUGAAUCUGUUUCAAUCAGGCGUUCAAAUAAUCCAUCCGAUUGUUUGCUUGCAUAUAUACUUUGACUUUCUUUCCGAUCCUUCCGUUUAACUAUGAGGGCGAAGUGGCGGAAGAAGCGCAUGCGCAGGCUGAAGCGCAAGAGGAGAAAGAUGAGGCAGAGGUCCAAGUAAACCUGCUGCGCCCACUGCUCCAGAUCCAAGACCUGAACCGUCCAAUGGACUGAGCACAGGAGACAAAGUCUGCAAGAAGUCUUUGAAGCAGUGCUGUUGAGACUGACCUGAGUCUAUCGCUGACCUUCUACAGCUCUUCUUGCACGUUGUAUUACCUCCUGUGGUGGGGGGUGUGUUGGGGUGUUGUGUUGUGUGGUGGUUUUUUUUUUUUUUUUUUUUUAAA